rnacentral:rRNA from 1 species
CGGGUGAGUAACGCGUAUGCAAUCUACCUAUAACAAGAGGAUAGCCCGAAGAAAUUCGGAUUAAUACUGUAUAACAUUUGGUUUUCGCAUGAUUACCAAAUUAAAGCUCCGGCGGUUAUAGAUGAGCAUGCGUGUCAUUAGCUAGUUGGUGAGGUAACGGCUCACCAAGGCAACGAUGACUAGGGGUUCUGAAAGGAUGAUCCCCCACACUGGUACUGAGACACGGACCAGACUCC